UACGUAGGGACCGAGCGUUGUCCGGAAUCAUUGGGCGUAAAGGGCGCGUAGGCGGCCUUCUAAGUCGAACGUGAAAUCCCCGGGCUCAACCCGGGAACUGCGUCCGAUACUGGAAGGCUUGAAUCCGGGAGAGGGAUGUGGAAUUCCAGGUGUAGCGGUGAAAUGCGUAGAUAUCUGGAGGAACACCGGUGGCGAAAGCAGCUUUCUGGGACGGUACUGACGCUGAGACGCGAAAGCGUGGGGAGCGAACAGG
rnacentral:rRNA from 1 species